rnacentral:rRNA from 1 species
GCGAGUGAAGCGGUAACAGCUCAAAUUUGAAAUCUGGCCUCACGGUCCGAGUUGUAAUUUGUAGAGGAUGCUUCGAGCAUGGUCUGGCCUAAGUUCCUUGGAACAGGACGUCAUAGAGGGUGAGAAUCCCGUAUGCGGCCAGGUGCCUACGCUCAUGUGAAGCUCCUUCGACGAGUCGAGUUGUUUGGGAAUGCAGCUCAAAAUGGGUGGUAAAUUUCAUCUAAAGCUAAAUAUUGGCCAGAGACCGAUAGCGCACAAGUAGAGUGAUCGAAAGAUGAAAAGCACUUUGGAAAGAGAGUUAAACAGUACGUGAAAUUGUUGAAAGGGAAGCGCUUGCAACCAGACUUGCGCGCGGCCGAUCAUCCGGUGUUCUCACCGGUGCACUCGGCCGUGCUCAGGCCAGCAUCGGUUUUGGCGGCUGGAUAAAGGCCCUAGGAAUGUAGCUCCUCUCGGGGAGUGUUAUAGCCUAGGGUGCAAUGCAGCCUGCUGGGACCGAGGACCGCGCUUCGGCUAGGAUGCUGGCGUAAUGGUUGUAAGCGGCCCGUCUUGAAACACGGACCAAGGAGUCUAACAUCUAUGCGAGUGUUUGGGUGUCAAACCCAUACGCGUAAUGAAAGUGAACGGAGGUGAGAACCCUUAAGGGUGCAUCAUCGACCGGUCCUGAAGUUUACGGAAGGAUCUGAGUAAGAGCAUAGCUGUUGGGACCCGAAAGAUGGUGAACUAUGCCUGAAUAGGGUGAAGCCAGAGGAAACUCUGGUGGAGGCUCGCAGCGGUUCUGACGUGCAAAUCGAUCGUCAAAUUUGGGUAUAGGG